UAGUGAUGCUAGACUGAUAUAGUGUGACA
rnacentral:piRNA from 1 species